UGGGCCAUGCUGCUCCCAGGAGACUGAGAGGCCAAGAGUCCACAGUCCAGCACCACUGCUUCAAAGGCAACUUGAAUAAGCUGAGGAAACUGAGGAUCAGAGAGAUAUAACUCACCCAAGGCCAUAUCCCCAGAGAGCAGUGGGGACAGCAUUUAACCCAGGCAGGCAGUCUGGCUCCAGAGCCUGCUCUCAAAAUCACUGCACUGCCAUGAACGCGACGAUGAUACCCACUCCACAGGAUUGCUAUAAAGACUUUCCACUGAGGGAAUGUGUGCAAAGCAUUUAGUACAGCACCUGACACCAUCUACAUAGGACUCCACUGGGUGGAUGAACAACUCUUCAACCAAUCUCAUGUGUAUGUAACAGAGAUUCCAAGAUCCAAGAGGCAUGGCCAAGAUCACGGACCUGGUAAACAGCAAAGCUGGAAUACAAACUCAGGCUUUUAAAAAGAAAACCCGCUCGUGUCCAGAUGACAGCCGUGGCUGCAGGGCACCCUCCGCUUGAAAGCCAGACUCCCCCCUCGCUUCUCAGCCACGGUUCUGGAUCCAGACCUUCCCAGCCUGCCAUGUUCCCCGGAGCCCGGAGCCCACCAGUACCUCCUGCCCAUGUGUUCCAGACGUUUCUUCCAGUAAGAAAGAGUUGCAGUGGACACCAUGGCUGGGCCGAGGCCCAUGUUCUCCAGCUGGGCCAGCAAAGCAGGGAAGGAGGAGGAGGAAGUGCCAGCUUGCAUGGCCAGUUCCAGAAACACCAAGCUGCGUUGCCUUGGGCACAUGUCUCAAGCUCUCAGGCUUGUUUCUUCAUCUCUAACUGAUCCAUGGAGUUGUUCUGAGGAUCAAAUGGGAAAACAUAAAUAAAUUACCCAGUG